AUACUUACCUGGCAGGGGAGAUACCAUGAUCACGAAGGUGGUUUUCCCAGGGCGAGGCUUAUCCAUUGCACUCCGGAUGUGCUGACCCCUGCGAUUUCCCCAAAUGUGGGAAACUCGACUGCAUAAUCUGUGGUAGUGGGGGACUGCGUUCGCGCUCUCCCCUU
ensembl:snRNA U1 U1 spliceosomal RNA